UGAAAACUAUUAGGGCUGAAACUCUGAAUCCUGGUAAUGAUAUAUGAUAGUUUCUCGAAAUGAAUCUGAACAUCUAGGUUCAUUUCUCGCUAUAUCCAUAUUCAUUUCGAAAAAUAUAUAAAAGUAUUUAUAUUUCAGAACAUAAGGAGCAGUACUAUGAUUAGAUCGGCAAUGGACCUUAUUAGUUCUGACAUACCAUUCAUGCAUGCAUGAUUCAGUAGUGAUAAGCAAACACAUAUACAACAAAGAUUAGAUACUUUAACUAGCAGCCAGGUCACGAUUAGCUAUCAUGCCCCCUCACUAUUCCAACAUAAACAAGGGUCGACUAAAAUGUUUGGUCACUACCCCUGCAAUUAAACACACCUCCAUGUGCAUUCCAUCUGAACAACUGUUCCUAAUUAAGCACACUAAAUUAACCACCUACUCUUAUCUCAAAUUUGGCUGCAGGAAACUGACAUUGAAGAAAGAUGAUUAGGCACUAACAAUGAUCCAGUAAUAACAUUAGCUAGGGAAAGAGGUGCAGCAAACUAGAAAUAUAUAGCUAGUAAUAAGAGUUGUACUACAUGUGUAUGAACAAUAGUUAAUCAGGCAGCACCCACACAAAUGAUUUGUACUUUGUGUUGUCAACGAGCAAAGAAGAGAAGGGGAAAAAAAUACAAACUAGAAACCAAACGCUGAUCGAUCUACCAUCGAAAGAGCCAAACACGAGAAGAAGUCAAGAAGCGAUAAGAAGCGUCGACCUCCCGGAAAAAAAACCGGCGCGCGAGCCGGCCGGUGCUUGCC
rnacentral:lncRNA from 1 species